rnacentral:lncRNA from 1 species
AGGCUGGUCUCGAACUCCUGACCUCAGGUGAUCCACCCACCUCGGCCUCCCAAAGUGCUGGGAUCCCAGGUGUGAGCCACCACACCUGGCCCACUUUUAAAAUGAAGCAGAAUAAAAUUCCCUGUCACAAAUCCAACCAAAAUUACAAAAUCCCUACAAAGGACCCUAACGAGAAACGACUAGAAUGAAGCGAGUGGAUGUUAGAGCAGGAGGAUGGGAAGACUUACCCCUGCAAAUGCCUCUGCCUCUCAACUCAGAAGCUCCAAUGAGAAUUUUUAUGGUGAUAAAAUACUGAAUACAGCCACAGAGCCCUAUAAAAUAAUGAAGUGGGUUUACUAACAUAGAAAGAUGGGCUGUAAAGCAAUGUGUACAGCAUGGUGUCACCUGGGGCUCAGAGCCUCCCCUCUCCCUCCAUCAGCCUGUCUGCCCCCAGCGGCAAUGCUCCUGCCCCUCCUCCUCCUCCUGGGCUUCACUCCCACAUGUGACUCCCUCCAACUCUCCCCUCCCUGCUUCAAGGGUGUCUCCCUCUCUCCUCACUCAGCUGUCCCCCAGGGCAGUGCCUUUGGGGUGGGUGGACGUGAGAGGCCUCUGGCCUCCACACACUGCCCACUGCUACCCUUGCUCAAGGCUGCUCAACCAGGGAGGAGACGGCCGUCCGGCAGGAUGGUCACUGGGGCCAGAGGGAGUGGUCAGUCAGGACACAUUCUGGAACAACACUCACUUUAUUUGCUGCUGAGGCAAGUGUUCAGAUCUCUCACUGUGAUUGUCUAUUUCUCCUCUUAGUUCUUUCUGUUCCAGUCACAUUUUGGAGUUGUGUUCUUUGGUGCUUUUAUGUUUAGCAUUGUUGUGUCAUCCCAUUAACCUCACCACUUGGUCACUGAGCUGUCCCUCCAUCUCUAAUGAGUCCUCCUGCCUGAGGCCGUGCUGUCAGAUGUGAACAGCUGUAGCAGAUGUGUGGGUGGUGCCCUGGCUUCUGGCCUCUCGCAUUCACUCUGCAUCCUUGGACUCGAUAUGUGAAGCCUGUGAAUGAACAUAGCUGGGUUUUGUCUAUCCAAUCUAACACACUUAAUUGGAGUUUGCAUUCCACUUACAUUUAAUAUGCUUGCUGACACAUUUGGUUUAAAGCUACCAUUUGCCUCUGUUUCCUAUGUGUCCCAUCU